rnacentral:rRNA from 1 species
CCUACGGGAGGCAGCAGUGAGGAAUAUUGGUCAAUGGACGAGAGUCUGAACCAGCCAAGUAGCGUGAAGGAUGACUGCCCUAUGGGUUGUAAACUUCUUUUAUAUGGGAAUAAAAUGUUCCACGUGUGGGAUUUUGUAUGUACCAUAUGAAUAAGGAUCGGCUAACUCCGUGCCAGCAGCCGCGGUAAUACGGAGGAUCCGAGCGUUAUCCGGAUUUAGUGGGUUUAAAGGGAGCGUAGGUGGAUUGUUAAGUCAGUUGUGAAAGUUUGCGGCUCAACCGUAAAAUUGCAGUUGAAACUGGCAGUCUUGAGUAGAGUAGAGGUGGGCGGAAUUCGUGGUGUAGCGGUGAAAUGCUGAGAUAUCACGAAGAACUCCGAUUGCGAAGGCAGCUCACUGGACUGCAACUGACACUGAGGCUCGAAAGUGUGGGUAUCAAACAGGAUUAGAUACCCCUGUAGUC